CGGAAAUAGGAGUAUGACCGGUCAACGAUGGCGGCCGUAUUUCUAGCCCCUGUAUCUCAAAUUGAACCCAAAAAAAAAAUUGCCCCUGAUCUAUUCAUCUAUAAUUCCGAUCGGGCAUUAUGACAAAGUAGACGUGUAGGCCGCUAGAGUGUACAUCGACAUUUUCCGCAUGUACACUCAACCCUGUACUUUCUGGGUGGGCUAAGCCCCGAAUGUAUUGUGGUCCUAGCGACGCCUCUGGGUGAGACUAUGGGAAAGAUGUGGCUUGACAGCAGAGCCAGAGGGACAAUUCACCACUCAUUCCAGCCCUGCAGAAGAAAUUGGACAAGCAUCUAACUCCCAGACCUCCCAGUGCUGCCAGUCAGUUCUCAUCCAGGGCCCUGUCUGAGGGUCCCGGAAUUGGAGCGGAUCGGGAGCCUGUGGUGGCUGCUAGGAGGAUUCAGGAGAAAAAGGAACUGCAUAUAGUAAAUGUGGAUAAAGUGGAGACUUACCUUGAGACAUCUGAGUCGGAGCCCCAACAGGGACUCCUGGUUGCUGCUGCCCCGGGUUUCCCGAUGACGCUUCCUCCGGUUCCAUCUUCUCCUCUUGGAUCACAUCAGGAGAAGGUAGGGGGGUUGGUUCAGGCAGAUGUUGAUUUGGAUACCCUUUCUUCCACUACAAUUAUUAUUCUACCAGGUAAGGAGCCUAGAUCUGUUUGUCAUGAACCAAUUAGACAUCCAAAUUCCACCAAUAAACUUUAUGACUGGGUACUUACCAUUAGAAAACCCAUUGUUAUAAUGGGAGAAUUGAAUAUUUCAAGGAAACCUCAGUUUGCUGAUCUCAGAGUACAGGCAGAUAGCUUCCCGGGGGCUACUUUCCACCAUCUGAAAGGAGUAAUUGAAACCUUACAAGAACAUCCAGAGGUGGAAAAGGUGGUGCUUUCAGGGGGUUUGAAUAAUUGUCUUUCUAAGCAGUUACCAUUGACUGCUUGGAAACAAUUACAACAGCUCUUAAAGAUGGCGGAAAAUUUCCUAAUGCCUUGCUUUAUGUACCAAUUAUCAAUUAUUCAGAUAGAUUGGAGAAACAGCAACAACUAUUGUUGGAACAACUAAAUCAAAAGAUAUUGGAGAGAUGCAACUCCUUGCCUGAGAUCAGCAAACUGAGGUUCCAUACACUCCCAAGAGAUCCGGUUCAUUGGACACCUGAAACAGGGAAUCUUAUAUUAAACUCAUGGCUUG
ensembl:lncRNA